UGAGAGAACACAGUAUGGAGAGAGGACUCAUAGAAUGAGAGAACACAGUAUGGAGAGAGUACUCACACUGAGAGAAUACUGAGAGAAUACAGUAUGGAGAGAGGACUCAUUGACUGAGAGAACAGAGUAUGGAGAGAGUGCUCAUAGACUGAGAGAGCUCAGUAUGGAGAGAGUACUCAGACUGGGAGAAUACGGUAUGGAGAGAGUACUCAGACUGAGAGAACACAGUAUGGAGAGAGUACUCAUAGACUGAGAGCAUAGUAUGGAGAGAGUACUCAUAGACUGAGAGAACACAGUAUGGAGAGAGUACUCAUAGACUGAGAGCAUAGUAUGGAGAGAGUACUCAUAGACUGAGAGAACAGUAUGGAGAGAGUACUCAUAGACUGAGAGAACAGUAU